UAAAAAUCGAACUGUCAAACAAAAAAAAGAAAAAGAAUAAAAAGACAAAACCAAAAAGAACAACUACAAGGAAGAGAAUUAUUGCAGAAAAGCGUGGACUAUUUGUGGUAUCCUGUUAGCGACGAUCGUCGAAUAUGGUAUGGGCCCUGAUCUUUUCGUGUUGUUGCCCUUCAAAUAGGAACCAUAGAGGGGAAUUUAAAAACAAAUUGACCCGGGUCUUACAGCCUAAAGGGGUUUUCAUUGCGAUUGACUCUACAACUAGGAAUUACGAGAUGUACCUUCAAGCAAUGACAGGAAGACAAUUUUAUUGGCCAUUACCGCACUGGAUUUCAUCAUGCCCGGUUACUGCAGGGGUUCACAUCAAUACCUACAUCUUCGUCGACAGAUUCUACAGAUUCUUGGAUGGUUGGUCGGAUUCCGAACUUGCGCCAAAAGUCGUAACCGAGAAUGCAACGUCUAUUGAGAUCAGGAGCUACGAGCACAGGCAUCAACCUGGUGAUUCCAUUAAAUGUGAUCGGCAACUCGACGGACCCUAAUACUUCUAAAUGUUGGCCUCCGGCCGUGGAUAGAUUGAUGUUGGAAUUGAAGUAACAUUGGCUGCAAGCAUGGCUAUGCGACAAUCUUCCCGCGUGUUCCGGAAUAACAGGUCAAAUUUGCGCUGUUCUUCCCAAGGACGGGAUAAGUUUCGGAAGAUUUUGGCCAUGUCAAGAUAAAAAUCUUGAAAUUUUUCUCUCGGUCCUUGGCGCCGAUUCGCAGCUUGGCGUUCGUAGGCAUAAUCCAUGUCCACAGAUCCAUUCGUAACAAUCGUUCGCACUGGUUACGCGUCAGACUCGCAUCGACAGGAAUCUUUCUAAUAUGCAGCUCGUAUUCAAGCUCGUCUUCUGUCAGGUGAGCCGGAUUCAACGAAUGAUAUUGGGAAAGCAGGUGUGACAUUUCCAUUUUGCUUAAGAUGGUACAACGUUGCAGGUGAAAUAUUUAAAUAGAUUUUAAAAGAACGACUAACCAAAGUAUUAACACAAUGAUUAGAUUAGAAUAAAUUAGUUAAAUUAAAAUUUACAUUAACACACAUUAAAAUAAUAAUUACAAAUAAAUGCGUAUUAAUAAAAUGUUGCGAUAAGCAUAAGGACUGGACCGAAUAUAAUUAUUACACUGGACUACCAGGUCGGCUCAAAAUCUUAGUAUGAUAAAUUAACGAUUUUGAAAUUGAGUCCAAAUAUUUAGCAAACUGAAACAAAUAAAUUUACGUUACUAUAUUAACAAAACUAAACAACUAAC